UUGGAGUUUUCUUAUUCCUGGAGCAAGCCU
rnacentral:piRNA from 1 species